GACGUAGGGCGCGAGCGUUGUCCGGAUUUAUUGGGCGUAAAGAGCUCGUAGGCGGCUUGUCGCGUCGUUCGUGAAAACCUGCAGCUCAACUGCAGGCUUGCGGUCGAUACGGGCAGGCUAGAGUUCGGUAGGGGAGACUGGAAUUCCUGGUGUAGCGGUGAAAUGCGCAGAUAUCUGGAGGAACACCGGUGGCGAAGGCGGCAUCCUGGACCGGCAUUGACGCUGAGGCGCGAAAGCCAGGGGAGCAAACGGG
rnacentral:rRNA from 1 species